GGCCUUUCACCAAGAUAGAGUCUUGCAGAGAAAUAGCUGGGGGUGGGGGUAUAUGCUUUUCAUAUUGGUUUGGGGUCUUUUGUAAGUUUUUCAAUGGCGUAGUAUUCCAUUGUGUAGAAGAUGUUUCAAUAAUUUCCUCAUCAUUCCAGGGUUUGGGACGGAAAGGGAUACGGUGGUGGGUGGGCACACUUGGUCCCGGAAGACACUCUUCUCUGUGGUUGGGGUGUCUUGGGUUGGUUUGGUUUGCAGACUGUGAGACCCCUGAGCACAUCAGCGGACACAGGCAGAGUGUUCUUGUUCUUUCCUGUUAUGUGUGGAAGCCACAGUCAUCUCUGAGUGGCUGGGGCCCUGAGUUUGGGAGCUCUGUUUUCUUCCUGGUGGCAAGCGUGGUGAGGCUGGGGGCCUCACAUCAGAACCCCCUGUGCCCUGGGAAGGGAUCUAGGCUCUGGCUCACAGUGAACCCUUGGCCAGGGUGACCCACAGCCCCACUUUGUGCCUUGAGGCCAAGGCUCUGAGGCUGCCGGAUACAGAGGCCCUCUCAUGGAGAAGGGGUCAGUGACAGAGGCCAAAGAAUAUGGCUCAGGUGAAGUGCAUGUCUAGGUGCUGGGCAGAGCCCAGGAGCAGCCCAGCUUAAAGACCCCAGACAAAGACGUCCUUCAGGGUAUACCAUCUCCGAUUUAUCUUGUCCUUGGAGUCCCCCAAACCCUGUCUGGUGUGGGCUCCUGCUUCAUGGGGUCAGAUACAAGGACACACACAGAGUCUUGACUAGGAAGAAGGCAAUGGGGCAUACCCGUCAAGCCCACCCUCCAGCCUCUGCUGUCAUGUGCUUGCCCCCCAGACGGAGGCCCACAAUGCAGCUUUGUGUGGCAGCUGGCUCCAACACAGGCCACAUGUCUGGGGCAUCCCUGGCUGGCCUGCAAUGCCAGCCCUGGAAGCCAGAGAUGCCAGGCUGGGGAGGGAGGAUGUGCCCUGCCCUGUCCUCCAGGGUCCUGGACCAGGUGCUGUCCAGAAAACACCUGGACUGGCCUGGUUGCCUCCGAGGACCCCUGGGGCUCUGUGGGGGAAUGAGCCUGCGGAGUGGGCCACCUGAGCCGAGGCCUGGCCAUAAGUCCCUCAACUAGCAGGGCCUGCUGGGUGCCCUGGCAUCACCAGGCCACUCAGCCAGGUGAACUGAGCCUGCCUCUGGGGUUCCCAACAGAGCCCCUGGUCUCAGGUAAAAUGAGAAAGCAAGGGCAGCCUGGUUAAUUUUUAUAAAGCUGAAUGCAUCUAUUUUUUAAAAUAUUUUUUUCAGGAGCUCCCAUUGUGGCUCAGUAGUAACAAAACUGACGAGUAUCCGUGAGGUCACGGACUCGAUCCCUGGACUCACUCAAUGGGUUGGGGAUCUGGCGUUGCCAUGAGAUAUGGAGUAGGUCACAGACUUGGUUUGGAUCCCAUCUUGCUGUGGCUGUGGCUGCAGCUCCAAUUUGACCCCUAGCCUGGGAACUUCCAUAUGCCGCAGGUAUGGCCCUAAAAAGACAAAAAAAAAAUUUUUUUUUCAGGUAUAAAAUCAUUCUUUUUAAAUGAAAGCAAUAUAGUAGGCAGAAGCUUUACUUAUUUAUUUAUCCAUUUAUCCAUUUAUUUAUUUAUUUAUUUAUUUGGCGGCCCCCAUGGCAUGUGGAAAUUCCCAGCUCAGGGAUCAAACCUACACCAUAGCAGCAGCCCAAGCCACAGCAGGGACAAUGCCAGAUCCUUAACCCACUGGGUCCCAAGUGAACUCCAAAGCUGUUUUUUAUCAUAACACCUUUAACUGACAAAGAAAACGUUGGCCACUCUAUUUUCAUCCCUGAAAGGAAGAAAGAAAGAAAGAAAGAGAAGAAAGAGAGAGAGAAAGAGAGAGAGAAAGAGAGAGAGAAAGAGAGAGAGAGAGAGAGAGAGAGAGAGAGAGAGAGAAAGAAAGAGAGAAAGAAAGAGAGAAAGAAAGAGAGAAAGAAAGAGAGAGAGAGAGAAAGAGAGAAAGAAAGAAAGAAAGAAAGAAAGAAAGAAAGAAAGAAAGAAAGAAAGAAAGAAAGAAAGAAAGAAAGAAAGAAAAGAAAGAAAGAAAAAGAAAGAAAGAAAUUGGUUCAUGGUGGCCCCAACCCUGACCCCACAGCAUAGUCUGGGCCUGGCUGGGCCUCAGGCAGAGCAGUUGAUUAGCCCUCAGGCAGGGGAGGCCUGAGUCUCCAGAGUUGACACUUGGGCAGGGGUGGGGGCGGUCUCAUGAGGCCCCAGGACUUCUCCCCUCUGGAUCAGGGAGGGGCUGACUAUUGGGGCUCCUCGCUGACACCUGAAUGGCUGAGCAAGGCUGGGUAGAGAUGAAGUGUGUACCCAGCAAAGACAGUGCCCUGUCUGCUUUUAUCUCCGCCCUGGUCAGCCCCCGGCCCAUGUGAACAGGUCUGGGAACUGGGCCAGAGCCAGGAAAGCCCCGCUGUGACCCUAGGCAGGAAGACCCCUCCUCAGCUCUUCCCUUAGAGGACAGGGCAGUGCUGAUGGGCUCCCCACAUUGUCCCUCUGCCCAGCCACCUGGCUGUCCUCUUUUUUUUUUUUUUUUUUGCUUUUUAGAGCCACACCCAUAACACAUGGAGAGUCCCAGGCUAGGGUUCCAAUCAGCUGCCAGCCUCCGCCACAGCCACAGCAACGCGGGAUCUGAGCUACGUCUGUGACCUACACCACAGCUCACAGCAAUGCCAGAUCCUUAAUCCACUGAGCAAGGCCAGGGAUCGAACUCACAACCUCAUGAUUCCUAGUCAGAUUCGUUUCCGCUGUGCCACAACGGGAACCCCCUGGCGUCCUCUUUAAGAGAGCAUGGGGGUGUGGGAGGGGGAGGAGAUGCCUCUUUCCUGAGUAACUCAGCCUGGAUUUGAGAAAAACAGCUGUCCCUUGUCCAUUGGACACUGACUGUCCCCUGCUUGUUAGGGAUGAGUCCACAAGGCUUUAAUAGGACCAAACCAACUGCCUGAGAUCUUACCAGGCCUGAAGUGGGUCCCCACCGGAUUAGGCCUCCUGGAGGGAGGGAGUACCAGGUUCUCCAUAAAAGGCCUAGCAGGAAAAUUGCUUUUCAUUCACUGAAAUGCUUAGGAAAGUAAGGCAUCUGUUCUGGUUCUACUUUUCAAAUGACAUGGUAAUACAUCAAGCUUCAUUUAAGAAGCAAUACCUUCAGAUAUUUCUUGGACUGGAUUUGCAUAAUUUCAUUUUUAAAAAACGAAAAAAGGCCUUCCUACCUAGGUCUGAUUCUCCCAAAGAUUUGAACCUGUUGAUGAUUAAGCAGGACUUUUCUAGAGCACUGGAGAAAGGGCUCAGCCCUGAGGGUCCUUGAUACUCAGCCCCUCAAUGCUCCUCAGGAAUUCACUGUUGCGACCUCCUUAAUCAGGAAGAGGUAAGUGGAGAGAUGCUUCUAGGCUUGGAAAAUCCAUCCCCCAUCCAGUCCAGAACUUUUUGUGUACCUGGGGGAGGCGGCAAGGGCACUGUUGGGUCGAGGGAGCAUGCCUCCACUGAAUGCCAUGAGCCCUACAGUGGGACCCUGGGCCGGGCCCCGCAUUCAGGAAGCCACAGCCUGGGAGGAAGUCAGGUGGGCAAAGGAAGGGAAGAAGCCCCAGGUGGCUGGGUGAGUGGGUGGGCAGAGAAGACCCCAGAACAAAAAAUUAUGCCCAGCAUGGCCACCUGUGCAGGCCAGGCUGGAGGGUCCCUCACUGUUCCCCAAUCCAGUGAGGGUCCAGUUCCCAGGAAUGAGUUUCUGCUGAGUGGGAUUCCUGGGUUCUUCCCCGAAGACUUGCAGUCACUGCCCCAGUGCAGCCAUGGAGCACUUGGGAGCCCAAGGGAAGGCAGUGAGGUGAGGCCAGCAGUUCUGAGGUGACAAGGGGAGGCCCAGGCCACCUCUCAAAGCCAUUGUUCUCAUUUGUGUCAGGGAGACCCCUGGGAGGGAAAGCCAAGUUGUUCACUUGGCUUUUCUCACUGAUGUCCCUGGAAGUAGUCACUGGGGACUCCACUGGGGUGGGGUGCCAGCACUAAGGGAGUUCAGGCUCUGGGCCCAGAAGUGAGACCGCGCACUGGUUUCUGGACCUUGUUUCUGUAGGGUUCCAAGGCUUCCACUGUCAGACACAAGGACAAUGACAGUACCCACUCUCAAGGCAAAGUCAGACCUCCCUCAAGACUGAAUGCGAAGUAUGGGGGCUAUUGCCCUCAGGACUGAGUGGAGGUGGGGGGUUCAUGCCCUCAGAAUUGGGUGGGAGUUCCCGUCGUAGCUCAGCGGUUGGUGAACCUGACUAGCAUCCAUGAGGACAUAGGUUCAAACCCUGGCCUUGCUCAGUGAAUUAAAGAUCCGGCGUUGCCAUGAGCUGUGGUGUAGGUCACAGAUGCAGCUUGAUUCCCAUGUUGUUGCAGCUGUGGCUGGAGCUCCAAUUCGACCCCUAGCCUGGGAACCUCCAUAUGCCAUGGGUGUGGCCC
rnacentral:lncRNA from 1 species